rnacentral:tRNA from 1 species
UAGGCAGUUAGCUCAACUGGAAGAGCAUUUCUCUUACAAAGAAAAGGUCGCAGGUUCAAAUCCUGCACUGCCUAU